rnacentral:rRNA from 1 species
CCUACGGGCGGCAGCAGUGAGGAAUAUUGGUCAAUGGACGAGAGUCUGAACCAGCCAAGUAGCGUGAAGGAUGACUGCCCUAUGGGUUGUAAACUUCUUUUAUAUGGGAAUAAAAUGUUCCACGUGUGGGAUUUUGUAUGUACCAUAUGAAUAAGGAUCGGCUAACUCCGUGCCAGCAGCCGCGUUAAUACGGAGGAUCCGAGCGUUAUCCGGAUUUAUUGGGUUUAAAGGGAGCGUAGGUGGAUUGUUAAGUCAGUUGUGAAAGUUUGCGGCUCAACCGUAAAAUUGCAGUUGAAACUGGCAGUCUUGAGUACAGUAGAGGUGGGCGGAAUUCGUGGUGUAGCGGUGAAAUGCUUAGAUAUCACGAAGAACUCCGAUUGCGAAGGCAGUUCACUGGACUGCAACUGACACUGAGGCUCGAAAGUGUGGGUAUCAAACAGGAUUAGAUACCCCUGUAGUC